rnacentral:lncRNA from 1 species
CACUAGAAAAACUAGGGAUAGUAGGAACAUUGUAAAACAUUAUAAAAGCUAUACAUGCUGAACCCAAAGCCAGUAUCAUUCUAAAUGGAGAAAAAUUUAAAGCGUUCCUGCUAAAACCUGGAACAAGAUAAGGAUGUCCUCUUUCAACACUUCUAUUCAACAUCAUCCUUGAAACUAUAGCCAGAGCAAUUAGACAAAAGAAAGAGAUUAAAGGGAUAUAAAUAGGUAAAGAAGAGCUCAAACUAUCACUAUUUGCUGAUGACAUGAUUUCAUACCUAGAAGAUCCAAACAUUCCACCAGAAAACUUCUAGAACUAAUAAGUGAAUUCAGCAAAGUAGCAGGAUAUAAAAUCAAUGCCCAUGAAUAAUACAUCAGUGAUAAAUCCACUAAAAGACAAAUUAGGAAAACUACUCCAUUCACAAUAGCCUCAAAAAAUAAAAAAAUUAAAAAAAAACUGGGAAUCAAUCUAACAAAAGAAGUGAAAGACCUCUACAAUGAAAGCUACAGAACUCUAAAGAAAGAAAUUGAAGAAAACCUCAGAAGAUGGAAAGAUCUCCCAUGUUCCUGGAUAUGCAGAAUUAAUAUUGUCAAAAUGGCCAUACUACCAAAAGCAUAUACAGAUUUAAUGCAAUUCCUAUUAAAUCCCAAAUGAAAUUCUUCAUAGAAAUAGAAAAAGCAGUCAUGAAAUUUAUUUGGAAAAAUAAGAGAUCCAGAAUAGCUAAAGUAAUCCUUAGCAAGAAAAGUGAAGCAGGAGGCAUCACAAUACCAGACCUUAAACUAC